CCAGACUCCUACGGGAGGCAGCAGUGGGGAAUAUUGGACAAUGGGGGGAACCCUGAUCCAGCGACGCCGCGUGAGUGAAGAAGUAUUUCGGUAUGUAAAGCUCUAUCAGCAGGGAAGAAAGAAAUGACGGUACCUGACUAAGAAGCCCCGGCUAACUACGUGCCAGCAGCCGCGGUAAUACGUAGGGGGCAAGCGUUAUCCGGAUUUACUGGGUGUAAAGGGAGCGUAGACGGCAGUGCAAGUCCGGAGUGAAAGCCCGGGGCUCAACCCUGGGACUGCUCUGGAAACUGUAAAGCUGGAGUGCGGGAGGGGCAGGCGGAAUUCCUGGUGUAGCGGUGAAAUGCGUAGAUAUCAGGAGGAACACCGGCGGCGAAGGCGGCCUGCUGGACCGUAACUGACGUUGAGGCUCGAAAGCGUGGGGAGCAAACAGGAUUAGAUACCCUGGUA
rnacentral:rRNA from 1 species